rnacentral:rRNA from 1 species
AUUGAACGCUGGCGGCAGGCCUAACACAUGCAAGUCGAACGAGUGGCGGACAGGUGAGUAAUGUCUGGGAAACUGCCUUAUGUAGGGGGAUAACUACUGGAAACGGUAGCUAAUCCCGCAUACCAUCGGAUGUGCCCAGAUGGGAUGAGCUAGUAGGUGGGGUAACGGCUCACCUCGGCGACGAUCCCUAGCGGGUCUGAGAGGAUGACCAGCCACACUGGAACUGAGACACGGUUCAGACUCCUACGUGAGGCAGCAGUGGGGAAUAGUGCACAAUGGGCGCAAGCCUGAUGCAGCCAUGCCGCGUGUAUGAAGAAGGCGUUCGGGUUGUAAAGUACUUUCAGCGGGGAGGCGUUACCCGCAGAAGUAGCACCGGCUAACUCCGUGCCAGCAGCCGCGGUAAUAC